rnacentral:lncRNA from 1 species
GUACGUAUUGGUUCAACUGAUAUAUGAAGCCAUGUUGUUUAGAUCUGAUAACCAAUUGUGCUUAGGUAUUUCAGGUCCAACUUGUAUUUACUUUAGGGGGGUACCUAGUUUUUCUUCAAGCACAACAUCAUUGAAGCCAUUCUGUGCUCUAGCUGAUACUUUACUCCCAAGAAACCUGAAUCCGCUGAUUACUCCCAAGAAACCUGAAUCCGCUGAGUAGUGCAUGCUAUUCAGCCUAUUAAAUAAGAAGAGGUGAAUCUUGAUGCUGUUGUUCCAGGGGAAGCCUAAUCUAUUGAUCGUCAAGGCAGUUUUGGCCCAAAUUAUGGAC